rnacentral:lncRNA from 1 species
AAAGAUGGAGACACCGUCAAGAUAGAAGCCACCGCACUCGACGUCACCUGGGGCAACGAUCCCCGCUACUGGUCCAUUGACAAAACCAGGUAAGGCUUCUUUGAUCGUCACAAAGAGAAGUCUUUGAUCUUAGCAUCAUUGAUGAUGUUUUCCCAAUCACUUCAUGUUCCUCGUUUGAUUUCCUACCCGUAUUCUUGUUUCUUUUUCUUUCUGAUAAAAUCAUUUGAUUGGGUGACAAAUGUUUUGGCUCGAAUUUUUAUCAUCUCAUGAUUACACUUUUAAACCGAACCCUAUUCUACUUGUAAUCCGUGAAGUUUCAUCCCAAACCUACAUAAAUGAAUAAUGAACGAAUGAAUUGUUUUCGUGUGCAGCUGGAAAAUGAUGAAGCAGAGAAUCUUCUUAGCUUGUUGUCUAAAAACAAAAAAUAAAUUAUAUUUGAUAGACGACUCUAUUUUGUUUAUGACUUGUAAAUGAAUAAAUGAAAUAAUGCACUAAGGAAUGAUUUUUUUUCUUUUAAUAUCGUUUCUCGUUGUUUGUUAUUCUGUUUUAUGUCCCAUUAAAUGAAUGAAUGAAUGAAUGGAUGAUCUUAGAGGAUUUAUCUCGUUGCAUCAAGUGUCGUAAUAAAUAAAUGAAUGAUCUUGGAAAACUACAGAGGAUCUAUCUCGUUGCACCAAGUGUCAUGGCUCGAGGUCAGCGGCGUAUUCGACAAGAGUGUACUCGACACGGUGAAUGCCGGGCUCGAUACCUCAAAAACCUAUUCAUUGAAGUUUAGAGUGAAGAUGAAGGCGGACGCCUUCGGGUGGAGUGGCUGCCCGGUGUACCUGAUGGUCAAGGAUGGCGACACCAAAAAGUUCAAGUGGAAGAAGGUUGACCUAAGCCGACUAACUGCCGGAACGGAGGUGUAUAUUCCAGAGUCUCCAGACAAGCACACCUUUAGGCCUCCCGCUGACAAACUCACCUUCGGAUUGUUUGAGAUUUGGAGGGGCAGAUGGAAGGGAGGACUCGAGAUCUUACAAGUCAUCAUCGAAAGGGACCAACAAUAAUCAACAUACACACACACAC